rnacentral:rRNA from 1 species
CCCUUAGAUGUUCUGGGCCGCACGCGCGCUACACUGAUGGAUUCAACGAGUGUUGUUCUUCGGAGCAGAUCCUUGGUCGGAAGGCCUGGGCAAUCUUGUAAAUGUCCAUCGUGAUGGGGCUAGAUUUUUGCAAUUCUGAAUCUCCAACGAGGAAUUCCUAGUAAACGCAAGUCAUCAGCUUGCAUUGAUUACGUCCCUGCCCUUUGUACACACCGCCCGUCGCUCCUACCGAUUGAGUGGUCCGGUGAGGCUUUGGGAUCUGAGCGGAAAGAGCGUUUCGCUGUUUCUGCCCGGAAAACUCAGUCGAACCUUAUCAUUUAGAGGAAGGAGAAGUCGUAACA